AGUGAACGCUGGCGGUAGGCCUAACACAUGCAAGUCGAACGGCAGCACAGUAAGAGCUUGCUCUUACGGGUGGCGAGUGGCGGACGGGUGAGGAAUACAUCGGAAUCUACUUUUUCGUGGGGGAUAACGUAGGGAAACUUACGCUAAUACCGCAUACGACCUACGGGUGAAAGCAGGGGAUCUUCGGACCUUGCGCGAUUGAAUGAGCCGAUGUCGGAUUAGCUAGUUGGCGGGGUAAAGGCCCACCAAGGCGACGAUCCGUAGCUGGUCUGAGAGGAUGAUCAGCCACACUGGAACUGAGACACGGUCCAGACUCCUACGGGAGGCAGCAGUGGGGAAUAUUGGACAAUGGGCGCAUGCCUGAUCCAGCCAUACCGCGUGGGUGAAGAAGGCCUUCGGGUUGUAAAGCCCUUUUGUUGGGAAAGAAAAGCAGCAGGUUAAUACCCCGCUGUUCUGACGGUACCCAAAGAGUAAGCACCGGCUAACUUCGUG
rnacentral:rRNA from 1 species